AAACUAACAAGGAUUCCCCUAGUAGCGGCGAGUGAAGCGGGAAGAGCUCAAAUUUGUAAUCUGGCGUCUUUCAGGCGUCCGAGUUGUAAUCUAUAGAAGUGUUUUCCGUGCUGGACCAUGUCCAAGUCCCUUGGAACAGGGUAUCAAAGAGGGUGACAAUCCCGUACUUGACAUGACCACCAGUGCUCUGUGAUACACUUUCUACGAGUCGAGUUGUUUGGGAAUGCAGCUCAAAAUGGGUGGUAAAUUCCAUCUAAAGCUAAAUAUUGGCGAGAGACCGAUAGCGAACAAGUACCGUGAGGGAAAGAUGAAAAGCACUUUGGAAAGAGAGUUAAACAGUACGUGAAAUUGUUGAAAGGGAAACGAUUGAAGUCAGUCGUGUUCAUUGGACUCAGCCGGUUUUCGGUGUAUUUCCUUUGAACGGGUCAACAUCAGUUUUGUCCGGUGGAUAAAGGCAGGAAGAAAGUGGCUCCCUCGGGAGUGUUAUAGCUUUCUGUCACAUACACUGGAGGAGACUGAGGACUGCAGCUCGCCUUUUGGCCGGGGUUCGCCCACGUUCGAGCUUAGGAUGUUGACAUAAUGGCUUUAAACGAC
rnacentral:rRNA from 1 species